rfam:Chlorocebus sabaeus isolate 1994-021 chromosome 23, whole genome shotgun sequence.
CUUUUGCUUAGGCAGGCUUGCUCUUACCAGAAGAUCACAGGAGGUAUUCAAAACAAAGUAUUAAACAUCCUAAUACACUUUUAUGUAAAUCGUGCAUUACUGCUAGCCACCAUGAAUAUUAUAUA